AGAAGGUGUGUCCACUAUUUUCCCAGUGGUGUAUGAAAGGCAGGCCAGCUCCUGAACCCCAACGUUGUUCCUCAAGUUUUUUUUGCCUGGUCUGUAUCAAAAGACAGAAUCUUGAUGACUAAGACAUUUUCUUUGGGCUUGGUCGAAGCCUUCCUCACUAAUAACAAGAACACCCAUGCCAUGGGAAAGAAGAUAUUAGAGGAAAAUUUCCCAAGAUUUGGCAUCUCUAAGGUACUUUCAUCAGACAAUGGCCCCUCCUUCAUUGUCCAGAACCCCCUCUAGCUCACUUGAAGGCCCUACAAUUGGUCAGAAAAGAUGCCUUGGAAAUGCUGAAACACAAUAAAAAACAAAAACAAAAACAAAAAAACAAAAAAAACAUACUAACCAGGAACCAUCUUCGUGCCACAUAAAUUUCAAACAGAAGAUCCUGUCCGGGUCCGGUGCCACCAUUCUGGCAAACUUGAACUCAGAUAAAAAGGAUGCUCCCUGGUGCUUCUGACAAGCCCUGCUGCCGCACCUCCAGCAUGUAACCGCUUCUGGCCUGCCAUGGCCCACUGGCCUGGCACUGCACAGGAUCCCCCCUUCUUCCCUCCUCCCACUGGCAAGAGUCUCUUUCGUCUCAUUCAAGGGGCUUCUGAGGUUCUCAAUCUUACAAAUCCUAAAGCUGUGACCUCAGGUUGGCUUUAUUUGGCAGCUGGGCCAGAGGUUUAAUUUUCUAACUUAUAAAAUUAGAACUAUGUACUAGAAGGAGUGGGAAAUGUGAGAACCCAACUUAGAGCAUUUCUCCCUGGAAGGUGAAGCCCCUGGACAUUCUCCAAGCUUGUAUUCCCUGAGCUCUAAAAAUACAGCCAGAAAGAAGCUCUAUGUUCUCUACAGCCACCAAAAAGCAUUUUGGUUUCUGAGCCUUACAGCUAGAGAUUCGAAAAUUGGAGUUUUGCCAAGGACAUCUGGGCAGAGAAGAACAUUCCUCCCGACUCUUCCCAACUCUCCAAACUCUCCUCCCAACUCAUCUCAAUUCCUCAGGUAGCUAAUAAAAACCCUCUUCUGUCACAUCUCAGAGUCAUACGCCCCUGCCCUGCACAGUGGAAGGAUUUUGUCCUUAGCUAGCUGAUAAUAAAACCUCUUACAGUUUGCAUC
rnacentral:lncRNA from 1 species